GACCUGCCUCCCAAUUUUCGGUGAGUGGUGUAGCCCUGGGCGGCGUGCAAAGUGUGCGACGGCGGCGCUUACCCCUGCUGUGCGCCUCCUUACCUCCAGCCACCCACCCCGCCCUCCCAGCGGCGCGCGCCCGCUGAGGUAGGUGUCAGAGAGCCGAAUUCGAAUUAUUUGCGACGUCCGGACGGAGUUUCGUAUCUUCGGACGAGAAAAGUGCGAUGGGAGUGCAAAGCUAGCCCUGCUCGAAGCAGCAGGCGCGUCGGUGUCACGGGAGCCGAGGAGCGGUGGCCGUGGCUGUGGAGUCGGUGCUCGAGGCGUCCUCCCAGGUGGGAGAGGUGGCGGCCUUGCCUGGGCGCCCUGGGGGCUCUGGAACAGAGGGAAAAGUAGUUUACGGAACGUGAACUUGUUUGAGGGUUCUUUCAAAACUCUCAAGUGUCCCGCCGCACACUAGGAUAUAGCAGUGCACGGGAUUAGGAGCAGGGUUACUAAAUUUUCAACCAGUUGACCCCAGCCCGCCUUUCCUGGGACCUUGGUUAGGUCAUCUGCUGCCACCGUGGUGUCUGCUGGGAUACGGUUUAUUCAUUCAAUAAAUGUUUGGUGCCUGCGAGUUCCGCGGCUCACCAUGUGCCCAGGUGAGCCGAGGCGGCCAGGUAGUCAGGCUAAGACGUGAGCAGUGUCUUGGAUGGGACACAGGCCUACGUCCCGGAAAGCCCAGAUAUGCAAAGUCCACAAACUGUCUUCCAACUUUUUCUUUGACUUCUUAACAGAGCCCAUGAAACUUAAGAUGUUUGAUGGAGAAGGAGAAAAAAGAAAAGUCUACCUAUAAAUGGAAACACAUUUAACAGUCCCCAGCGGUAUGGGGCGGCUGAUACCACCAGAGGCCUUGAGCAAACUGUUGUAUCGUUUUAAGUUAGCUUUGAAAAUAAAAAGACACUGUUAGCCAUUCAACAGGAUGACUGAAAUUCCCCCCUUUUCCCCAGUUUGCUCCACUUCGAGUAAGAAAAGGUGUGACAGAUGAAGAUGCCACAUAUUAUUUUUCUUGGCCCCUUCAGGUACACCGCUGCCCCCAUUGUACAAGGCCUCUUUUUUAUGAAUCUGAAAGGACAACAGAGGGCGAUUCAAAGUCACCAAACAACACUUGGAAUUAAGAACAGGAAGCGCAGCCUAGACACCGUCCUGCCCUGGGCUGCUGCAGACCCCUGACUUUCUUGAACUUGGCUGAAAAGUUGGGGCCAGGUUUUUGUCACACUCCUGAUCAUGGAUGGCCUCUCUUCCACACAAAAAUACACCUUAUUUUGAAAAUGCUCAAAGGAACUAUCCUAGGUUGAUGCUUUUCACCUAACCAAAGAUGCAUAAAAAUAUUGUGCAGAUACACCUGAAUGUGCUCAUAGGAAAACUCAGCAGUAAGGCCUCAGAAUCGAUGAUUCCUAGGCUGCCUGUAAUAGUGAUAGUGAGGCUCACUACCAUCCACCACCUAAAUUAGAACCGCUUGAUGACACAGCACAGGUUCUAUAUCUUUAGAUGGUAAAUUAAAAAUUCCUGGCUGAAUUUGAUUGAUUGUCAUUUUUAAAAAUUGUUAAAGACUUGUAAGAGGGAAGAAUAGGCCAGACAUUUUUGUUAUGCUCCAUUUGUUCAAAAGCAUCUUCCUUCCUGCUUCUACUGUGGCAAAGCACAGAUACAUUGUCUUUAAGAGGUACAAGGUAAAUAGUAACAAAUACAACCUAGAUACUUAUGCCAGGAGGUACAAAGUUAUACAAUGAAUAUAAUGAAGAGCCUCCUUAUUUGGAAAUCUCUGAGCUCCAUUACCACCUUCCCCUUUUAGAUAAACAUCACACCUGAACUUUAAAAGGAGUGAAACUGCCCCAUGUCAUAUACUAACAUGCGUCCUAGGCAAGGCACAAUUGGGACUAUUGUCCUAGAAAUGGGUAACGCAAGAUCAGGCUUUACUCCUUUCAGCUCUCAAUCUAUGAGGCCACUCUUGAAAACAAAAAUUUUUUAAGUGUAGGUUUCACCUAUAUUUUAUUAUGACUAACUGCUGAUGGAUAAAUAAAGCAUUUACUUUGUAAAUAAAUGACAGCAGGUGGAAUCAUGGGUUUACAGGUAAGCAAAUGACACCCAGAGUGCUGAAACACAAGCUGGUUUGUGGUCAGCUAGGCUGUCUGUUUUCACUCCACACAAAGUGAAAGAAGAGAUUUUACUGAGUUUUUGGCCUCAAAUUUGACCUCUUGAGGCCCUAAAAGUUGUGAUUUUUUUUUUCAAGUCUUUCAGAUUUGGAGGCUACCAUGUGUGACCUUUUCAUAUGAGUUAGUAAUUUAAUUGAUCAUUACUGUUUUGAGUACCUAGUUUAUGCUUUGAAAGCGGGGCAAUCUAUUGGCAUAACUCUUGGAACAGUCCAGAUGAGAGAGCUUUCCAAUGGAAGGGGCCUCUCGUCUGGCUCAGGAAGAGAAGGGAGUUAUGGAGAUUUCAGGGAGGGACAAAGGGCAGAAUAUCUUGGGUAUAAAAUGCCCAAGGAAAGCACAGAUCUCUGGCUCAGGAGACUUGCUUCAUGCCCAAGCCAGCCAGCUGAGAUCAUAACACAUCCCUAACCUAAAACACUAGGUCACCUAACGAAAAAACUUGUUUAAACAGAUGGUGUCACACACUACAUGGAGAUACGGCCUCGAAACAUUUCUUUCCAACAUUCCAUAUUUGACAACAAUGAACAACGUCCCACAUCAGAGUUUGAAUUCUGUGGUCUUGUCAGCUUCGUGGUGAUAAAGGCAGUUUGUGUUCCUUGGCCCCUGGGUAUCCUCCUUUCUGAGUAAGAAUGCCUUGUCUACCUUUUGAAGCAGUGGACUUGCUACAGCUUAGAAUCUUGAAAAUACUGUUCUGCUUAAUGCUGUCACUCAGUUUUUGGACAAGAAUGUUAUCCUUGGCCUUUCAUUAGUUGGGGUCAUUUUAAGUUGUCUUCCAAGAGCCCAGAGCAAAUAUAAUUAUAAUAUUAAUUUAAUAGCCUAGGAAACAAUAAAUAGGUUUCCACUGAAACAGAAACUUUAGCUGUAAGGUUUUAAUAAUAGUAUUUAGCACUUCCACAGUGUUUCCUGUCUUCAAAGCACGUUCUGCAGUUUAAUUAGCUAGAAUGACUGAAACUGCUAUUGCAAAUGAAUGUCAAAGCCUAUGUCAUGUAGAUGAUGAAAGCAGGAAUUGUAAAAAGCAUUUCCUAGUCCCAGUUAAUCCUUGUAAGAAGGCUCUAUUACUUUAGACCAUAAAAGUUCUUGGAAAUCGAAUGUAGUGAUUAUCUAGGACAUUUUUUUUUCUUGUCAUAUUCACUAGUUAGUAACUCCAACCAUAAAGUAACCCUAAACUUGUAUUCAAAACUAAACAUGAUAUAAAACUUCACUUAAGACUUGAAGUCAAUUACUGAAGAAUUAACUACAUGGCCAUAUGACAUUUUCCUAUUUAUUAUCCAUCAACUCAUUUUAAAAUGAUCUGUUUUUAAUUCAGAACAUACUUUAAUUCAAACAGAAUGUGGACGUACAUUGGCCAGUGUGUUUGGACCCAAUUUCUUGAGCCAGUGGUUUUGAGAUGCUGUUCAAACAUCUACUUAAAAGCAUGGCACAUAAUAUGAGGGCAAAGAGGACGUUUUGCAGCCCUUCUUGAUCUUUCCUGACUCUCUGAUGGGGAGGCACCAUCUGUGAGAGAGGCUUCCUGGUCACUGUGGACAGACCCCCAAUUCCCCAGGCCAUCAGUGCCUUUCUCACGACAUCCCCAUGAGCCCCAGCGUGGGCAGGAAUGGACUUUUAACAAAACCACCAUCUACCUCAAGAAGGGGGAAGCUAACAAAAAGAGAUGACAUGUAUUACUUUGUUCCUGUUAGAAGCCUAAAUGAUAUGAUGCACAUGUUACCCUUCAUUGGAGAUUCUAGGUGGACAAACAACUUGGAUAUCAACAGGGAGCAGAAAACAAACCCACUAGCAGGACCAAAAGGCAGACCCAUCAGCAGAACACAGGCGGUAGCUUCCACAAUUAACUCCAAAACUGAAAGUCAAAUCCAGGAGAAGACUGAGGAAGCUCCAUUUUCUUUGAGCACUUAAUUGUAAAUUAAGAUUUGCUGAUGAUGAUGGGCUAAUUUAAGCUACCGUGGAAAGAGGAAAGAAAUGGAAGCUGCUGAUCGUAGGAAGCAGUACCUGUACUGCGCAGGGUUGCAGUGACCUAACACCAAGAAAUAAAAACUCUGGAAAACUAGCCCUUCACAUAUGGAAGGACCCUCCCAAAGAGCUGGAGCUCCUCUGCCCACAGCCUCCCCCAUCAGAUCAGACCUACGGUAGAAGACAGCAAGGAGUAAACGCUGUUUCCUGUUUUCAUUUUUUUCAACUGGACCACCAGCUACUACAACUCUAGAAAAAUGGAGGCACAGAUAUGUGGGUCCCGGAGCCCUAGGGGAGCUGGAAUGGAUACUUGCUAACACACGGGACACGAGAUUCUCUUUCCUUUGGAAGGGUCCUGUCAUGGCCCUUCUUGGGUUCUGGACUGUCCUACAAUGCCUGACUUUAGUUUCUGUGGAUCAUGAUAAGCAUUAUUCAUUUUUCCCCCUCAAAUAUCUCACAGCUUCAAACUUACCUGAAUGCAGGUUCCCUGUAAAAAUACCAUCAUGUAAUUUGCACAUUAGCAAUCAGUUUGAUGAAUGGCAAAAUCGUUCAAAUGGAAAAGA